rnacentral:rRNA from 1 species
CGAAAGUUAGAGGUUCGAAGGCGAUCAGAUACCGCCCUAGUUCUAACCAUAAACGAUGCCAACUAGCGAUCCGCCUGAGUUCCUCAAAUGACUCGGCGGGCAGCUUCCGGGAAACCAAAGUGUUUGGGUUCCGGGGGAAGUAUGGUUGCAAAGCUGAAACUUAAAGGAAUUGACGGAAGGGCACCACCAGGAGUGGAGCCUGCGGCUUAAUUUGACUCAACACGGGAAAACUUACCCGGCCCGGACACUGGAAGGAUUGACAGAUUAAGAGCUCUUUCUUGAUUCAGUGGGUGGUGGUGCAUGGCCGUUCUUAGUUGGUGGAGCGAUUUGUCUGGUUAAUUCCGAUAACGAACGAGACUCUAGCCUACUAAAUAGGCGUUCCGAUCCUUUAUGUCGGACGUUCUUCUUAGAGGGACAAGCGGCUUUUAGCCGCACGAGACAGAGCAAUAACAGGUCUGUGAUGCCCUUAGAUGUCCGGGGCCGCACGCGCGCUACACUGAAGGAAUCAGCGUGUGCUUUCCCUGUCUGGUAGGACUGGGUAACCCGUUAAACCUCCUUCGUGAUAGGGAUAGGGAUUUGUAAUUGUUCCCUUGAACGAGGAAUUCCCAGUAAGCACGAGUCAUAAGCUCGUGUUGAUUACGUCCCUGCCCUUUGUACACACCGCCCGUCGCUACUACCGAU